UGAAUGGUAGAACGAGGGCUUAGCUGUCUCCCCUUUCUAGUCAAUGAAAUUGAUCUGCCCGUGCAGAAGCGGACAUACAAAUACAAGACGAGAAGACCCUUUGGAGCUUAAGAUACAAGAUCAACUAUGUCAAAACCCCGGUUAAACUAAAUAGCAUCUGAUCCAAAUCUUCAGUUGGGGCGACCACGGGAGAAAAUAAAGCUCCCACGCGGACUGGGGUAAUUACCCCAAAACUAAGAGAAACAACUCUAAGUCGCAGAAUUUCUGACCAAAAGAUCCGGCCUCCCGCCGACCAGCGAACCAAGUUACCCUAGGGAUAACAGCGCAAUCCCCUUUCAGAGCCCCUAUCGACAAGGGGGUUUACGACCUCGAUGUUGGAUCAGGACAUCCUAAUGGCGCAG
rnacentral:rRNA from 1 species